rnacentral:rRNA from 1 species
WGAAGGCCUUCGGGUUGUAAACCACUGUYAKUGGGGAGGAAAUGCAUAGGGGUUCUCUCCUAUGUUUGACCUAUCUUCAGAGGAAGGACGGGCUAAGUUCGUGCCAGCAGCCGCGGUAAGACGAACCGUCCRAACGUUAUUCGGAAUUACUGGGCUUAAAGGGUGCGUAGGCGGCUUGGCAAGUUGGGUGUGAAAUCCCUCGGCUCAACCGAGGAACUGCGCUCAAAACUGUCAGACUAGAGGGAGAUAGAGGUGAAUGGAACUAAUGGUGGAGCGGUGAAAUGCGUUGAUAUCAUUAGGAACACCUGUGGCGAAAGCGGUUCACUGGAUCUCUUCUGACGCUGAGGCACGAAAGCUAGGGUAGCGAACGGGAUUAGAUACCCCGGUAGUCCUAGCUGUAAACGAUGAGCACUGGGUUGGAGGGUCCUCCAUAGCCUUCCGGCCGUASCGAAAGUGUUAAGUGCUCCGCCUGGGGAGUAUGGUCGCAAGACUGAAACUCAAAGGAAUUGACGGGGGCUCACACAASCSGUGGAGGAUGUGGCUUAAUUCGAKGCUACGCGAAGAACCUUAUCCUGGUCUUGACWUGMACKGAUGGGCCGCCUGAAAGGGAUGGUCCCCUGCUCUUGYARURAAACGUGCACAGGUGCUGCAUGGYUGUCUUCAGCUCGUGUCGUGAYAUUUCGKGUUAAMUCCCUWAMCGAGKRGAAACCUUUUGUCCCU